GCGGUGGUGGAUUUUGUCCUCUGUCUCAUAUUUAAUAUCACGAGUAGGGGUCUCCUCAGGACCAGUGUGACCCCAGGAGGGUUUAUCACAGCGACCAGUGACUCCUGCUCUGACACAAAGAAACUGAGCUGUAAUAAUACCUCUGUUAUCUCAUCCAAUUCAAAUUGAAACAAGACGCCUAAAACUGGACCGACCGGUUUCACCCUCCCACUGGGUGUGGCUCACUUGGUAAUACUCGACUAAUAGUGACUUUGCAGGUUAUUCAGCUGAUCUCUGGACAGUUAACAGCUCCUCAUCGACCACAGGCUCCUACGAAGCGGCCUUACUGCAAAACCAUGGUGAAAGUCACCAUCGAAUACUGUAACGGAUGAAAUUCAGCCUACCGCAACCGCUGCGCGGAGCUGAGUAGGAAACUCAGGGAGAUUCCUGGCGUGGAGGUGAAAGGAAUCCCUGGGAAAUCUAGCAGCUUUGAGGUGUCCGCGGACGGUUAGCUGAUCUACUCCAAGCUCCGGACGGGAAAGUUCCCCACUGACGAGCAGGUGUUGGAGAUCGUAAGAGAGAUGGCCGGUGUAAAGCCGGCGGGUUCCAAGCACGGUUCCUCCCACCAUUAGAAGAGGACGAUGAGGGCUGUAUUCACACUGCGAGAACGUGGGCUGCUUCGUUUUUUUCUUUCUUGAGGCUCAGGCUGUGUUCCCUCACAGCCUCUCGUCUGAAUGCAAAUAUUAAUUAGAACAUUGGUAAAUUAAAAGUUUAAUUAUGGACCAAAUUCGAAAAGCAGACCCACGACUUCUUCACUGUGAAUACAGACAAAGACAGGAAGGUGAUGAGAGCAACUCUGAGGGUCCAGGCACUGAUCUGCACUUCUGUCUAUGAAUGUGCGCGCUAAAAGCAUGCAGCGUGCGCACGAUGCACGACCAGAAGGCCUUUCAGCUCGACUGCAGCCUCAGGAACUGCUCUCGUCAGGUCUGUCUCAUGUAUGUAACGUCUCUGCAGAUGCAUUCACUCAGGGAUGGAAAAUCACAAACUCUUUAACCAAGCCACAUAAUUCACAUUUCAGGUCUGUGAUUGGGUACGAAACUAAAGGAAAAAGUUAAGACAUACGCUCAUUCACGUUCUUGCCAAGAGUCGGCGAGAUGAUCGUUCAUCUCGUCCAAGUCUCGACAAGAAAGCGAAUGGGUACAUUUCCGAGAUGGUUGACCUCCUGUUUUACACUUCUUGUGGUCAGACAUCAUACAUGCGGGUCAUUUCCUCUCUGAUAUGGCAAAAAUAAGAGUCAAAGCUGGACAUUUUUUAAAGCGCCAGCGUUAAAAGCAACAGCCUGUAACUUCCUGGAGAGAGUUGGUUGAUUUGUUCGUUGAGCGUCGUUCUCAGGUCGCGGAGCCGAGCUGCCAACCCACAGCGACGGUCUCUGACGUUCUGGGGACGAGGCUCAACAAUCAGCUGUAAUUAACUUUGUCCAGUAAGUCACACGUUGUUGCUUUUAAAGUUCAAAUUCAUCCGCUUCACUCUGACGUACUUCAUGAACACGGACUCAUUAUUUCUGCCGUAUCAGAUCUGUUUUAUUUUAUUCACACCUGCCACAUGUGCCAGAGUAUUUCCUCCCUGGUUGUGAUAUUAUCGUGUGCUGCAUUUCUGUUCCUACUCUCAUAUUGUACCAGGUAACAUAAAAUCAGUGACACAUAUUACAGGUGCGAUAAUUCAUUUGAUAUUUGAACCUGUUGACACAACUUAGUGUACUGUUACGCUGUUUUUAUCAUCAUUUCCAACAAAAGAAAUAUCCUGAAAUGCAAUAAAAUAUAACAAAAACCACCUGCUCUCCUCAGAUGAUUGUCACAGUGUGUAUUUGGUCUGUAGUCAAAUGUCUCUGUGUGGCGAUCAGGCCGAUACGAUCCACCAUCACAUCAGAGAUCAGCCAGACUUCCUGAACUGUUCCCGCUCGUGUGUCCCUUUGUUUCCUCUAGAUAACAUCAAAUCCGAGAAAUCCCUCUGGGCUGAAGAUACAGAGUCUCUUGUUUAACUCGUUUAUUUAAUGUUGCAGAUUUCCUCAGUCCUGGUCCUCGGGGCGCCCUGCCCUGCAUGUUCAAGAUGCUCCAACUCUCCUGAUUUCAAAUGAUCGACCUGUCAUCAGGUGAUGCUGAAGCCUGAUAACGAUCCAUUCGUUUGGAUCAGGUGUCAAACACUGGGUUAAUAAAGAUACAAACGAUUCAUAUUUUAUGUUCUCGUGGCUUGAAUUUCAAUCUGCAAAGAUGAGUCACAGCUGGAGAAAAUUACACGAUAUCUCCUUCCGAAAUUCAGUGGAGGAAAAAAGGGUUAAUGUGCGACGCAACUAUUCAAAUGUAAGUGCCUCAGUUUCAUAUCUCGAUGUGUGGAAACACAAAGCUGUGAUAUCUGGACCAGCUGUCGAUUGUUGAGGUCACAGCGUUUAACACGUUCCUCACCACCCUUCAUGGGGGUUUUCACAGAAGCUCAGUGAGCACUGUGACAUCCUCUGGAAGCCGGACUAAGCUUGGCACUGUAGUUUUGUUUAUUUUUUUAGCAAACAUGUAGGAUCAAAUUGUGUUUUUGCUGGAGACUCAGAGACACAAGCUGCUAAUAGGGUCAAUUCACUGUGGGUUCAGGCUUUUCACAGGACUGGUGACGCCAAAAAAAUUGAAGAUUAUCAGCAGAUUUAUCCUUCAGAGGGUCGGAUAUUAAUCUUGUGGGAUGGAACAAUGAAAAGCACAUACAGUCUGAACUUUAAGCCCUCUGGAUUGAGUUUUUAAAGCAGUCGCUGAGUGUAAUCUCUCUUCGGUAUAAUCCAUAAAAUAAACAGAUGAUGGUGGCAGCACAGAUUCGUCUGAUCUUUGUGCUCUGCUGGUGGAGUAAAACACGAUCAACAGGAAGCGCGGCAGAGCCCCACAUCUGACGCCGCUGUGGUUUCGCUAUUUCUCAAACAAUCUGGAGCACUGAAGU